AUGUGUGGCCUCGACGACGACCGCCAAACGCUCGGGCGGCAUCUACUAGCCGUCGAGUGUAAGCUGGCAAACACUGAGGAGAUGAGCAAGACAAAUCGCUAUGUCAAGAGCAAGAUAAAGGAGCUCAAGUCCGUCGCCUACCAAGCCGAUGACGUGCUCGAUGACUUCCACUAUGAGGCGCUGCGCCGCGAGUCUAAGGUUGGCAAGUCCACUACCCGAAAGGCACUCAGCUACAUCACGCGCCACAGCCCGCUGCUCUCCCGUUUUGGAAUGACCAGGAAACUCAAGAACGUCCUCGAGAAGAUCAAUAAGUUGGUUGAGGAGAUGAACAAGUUUGGCCUGGAAAAUUCUACCAGUAGGGAGAAGCGGCAACAUCCUUGCCGGCAAACACACUUAAAACUGGAUGACUGCACCAAAAUCUUUGGAAGAGAUGAUGAUAAGAUGAUGGUGGUGAAGCAACUGCUGGACCGACAAGAUCAGCAGAAGGUGCAGGUGCUGUCCAUCUUUGGGAUGGGUGGUCUUGGCAAGACGACUCUUGCUAAGAUGGUGUACAAUGAACAAGAGGUCCACAAACAUUUCCAAUUGAAGAUGUGGCACUGCGUCUCUGAAUUUUUUAUGUUAUUGCUCUUUUGA
rnacentral:rRNA from 1 species